rnacentral:rRNA from 1 species
GGCGAACGCUGGCGGCGUGCCUAAUACAUGCAAGUUGAGCGCUGAAGGUUGGUACUUGUACCAACUGGAUGAGCAGCGAACGGGUGAGUAACGCGUGGGGAAUCUGCCUUUGAGCGGGGGACAACAUUUGGAAACGAAUGCUAAUACCGCAUAAAAACUUUAAACACAAGUUUUAAGUUUGAAAGAUGCAAUUGCAUCACUCAAAGAUGAUCCCGCGUUGUAUUAGCUAGUGGGUGAGGGAAAGGCUCACCAAGGCGAUGAUACAUAGCCGACCUGAGAGGGUGGUCGGCCACAUUGGGACUGAGACCCGGCCCCACCCCCUACGGGGAGCAGCCGUAGGGAAUCUUCGGCCAUGGACGGAAGUCUGACCGAGCACCGCCGCGUGGGUGAAGAAGGUUCUCGGAUCGUAAAACUCUGUUGGUAGAGAAGAACGUUGGUGAGGGUGGAAAGCUCAUCAAGUGACGGUAACUACCCAGAAAGGGGCGGCUAACUACGUG